rnacentral:rRNA from 1 species
CAGUAGCCACGGUAAUACGAGGGGUGCAAGCGUUAUUCGGAUUGAUUGGGUGUAAAGGGUGUGCAGACGGCUUAUUAAGUCACUUGUUAAGUUCUUCGGCCUAACUGAAGGUCUGCAAGUGAUACUGAUGAGCUAGAGGGUGGAAGAGAGAAGUGGAGUUCUCGGAGUAGCGGUAAAAUGCGUAGAUCUCGAGAGGAACACCAAUGGCGAAGGCAGCUUCUUGGUCCAUUCCUGACGUUCAUACACGAAAGCGUGGGGAGCAAACAGGAUUAGAUACCCCUGUAGUCCCUGUCUCUUAUAA